GCCUGGUUGGCUCAGUUAGUAGAGCGUCCAACUUUAGAUCUUGGAGGCUGUGUGUUUGAGCCCCACGUUAGGUG
rnacentral:tRNA from 1 species